rnacentral:lncRNA from 1 species
AUGGUUCAAUAUCACAAAAGGAUUGUUGGGAUUGAUUUUUGGGAUAAUGGUACCAACAGUUUAGGAAUUAAGGACCAAAAAGGGGCCAAAACCAAGCAUUUAACAAUAACUUGUGUGUAAUUGUCAAGAUCUCUCUGACUUUUUAUUAGAUGUUCCAUAUCACAAAGGGAAGACUGGGAUUAAGUUUUAGGGUAAUUGCUGGAAUCAUGCAGGAAAAAGGGCUAAAAACAAGCUAGUGGUGUAGUUUCCAGACAAUAA